GGUGGCUCAGUGGUAGAGUGCUUGCCUUGCAUGCAUGAGACCCUGGGUUCAAUUCCUAAGUACUA
rnacentral:tRNA from 1 species